AAUUUCAAAUUCAUACAAAUUAAACCUUCCCCUGGUUAAUCACCAAUCUUCUCUACCCACUAUACCAAUGCAGUUUGAAUUCCUCUUCUCCAAUUCUGCUUUUCACUUUCACGCACUUACUAUCACAAAUCUCCAUCGUCCCACUCUGCCUUCUUAACUCAUCAUUCUCUGCAUCUAAAGCCAGGACUGCCUUCACUAAGAACAGGGCACACAUGUAAAUACUGGAUUGCAAUUUUUAACUGUCUUUUUCAGCAGAGGGAAAAUUUUCGAAGACGAUGGAGCACAACGGACACAGUACACAAAUAGAUAGCAGUGCAAGACUUCCUAUAUUAAUUAAGCUUGCGUGAUCUCAAUGAGAUCACAAAUGGAAUGUAAAGAAAGUGGGGGAAGUUAGCACUGUGAGAUAAAUUCAAACAAGCUAGUGUUCGUUUUCAUUAACUAUUUGGUACAAACGGAGGGACAGAAGAAGAUGUGAGCAUUGAGAUCCAUCGAAAAUCAAAUCCUAUAUAUCGGCUCAAAAGGAACCUGGGUAUUUCAUUCUCACCAACCCAUUUAUGCUUUUUAUUGCCUUCUUGUCUUUUGUUUUGGGAGACACAUAUCAAGAUUUAUAUGUAGUAUAGUUUAGUUGCUUAACAUGCCCUAAGGAAAAAUCUUAACAAUUUUCUCAAUGUAGAUUCACUUAAAAUUUAUACUAGCGAGAAAGAGAGUUACUCCAUGUCUCCAUGUUUCUCUUCAUUUAUAAAGAGGAAGUCGAAUAGAGAAUGAGUGUGUAGUUAUCUCUACAAAAUAAGCAUGUGCUGUUAAAUGGUAAUUUGUAAAAAAAGAAAAAUUGAAUAUCAAAAUUGCUUAUAUAUCCUUAAUUAUUAGUUACAGAUACUAGCUACUUCAUCAUCUUUAAGUUUAUAGCACAUGAAAAUCAAAUGUUGCAUGAUUCAGUAGGUAUAUUGAUUCGAACCUGCAAUCCUAAAUUUCAUUUGAUUUUCUUUUUUGCAUACCGAAUACC